rnacentral:rRNA from 1 species
AACGAACGCUGGCGGCAGGCCUAACACAUGCAAGUCGAGCGAGGACUUCGGUCCUAGCGGCGGACGGGUGAGUAACGCGUGGGAACGUGCCCUUUGCUUCGGAAUAGCCCUGGGAAACUGGGAGUAAUACCGGAUGAGCCCUUUGGGGGAAAGAUUUAUCGGCGAAGGAUCGGCCCGCGUUGGAUUAGGUAGUUGGUGGGGUAAUGGCGUACCAAGCGGACGAUCCAUAGCUGGUUUGAGAGGAUGAUCAGCCACACUGGGACUGAGACACGGCCCAGACCCCGAGGGGGGGAGGGGGGGGGGAUUUGAGGAGAGGGGGGAAACCCUGGAGGAAGCCGGGCGGGGGGGGGGAGAAGGGCGUUGGGGUGGAAAACCUUUUGGGGGGGGGAAGAUAAGGGGGUACCAGGAGGAGGAGCCGCGGGCAACCCCGGGG